rfam:Danio rerio chromosome 4, GRCz11 reference primary assembly.
GCAUUGGUGGUUCAGUGGUAGAAUUCUCGCCUGCCACGCGGGAGACCAGGUUUCGAUUCCCAGCCAAUGCA